GACGAACGCUGGCGGCGUGCUUAACACAUGCAAGUCGAACGGAAAGGCCCUGCUUUUGUGGGGUGCUCGAGUGGCGAACGGGUGAGUAACACGUGAGUAACCUGCCCUUGACUUUGGGAUAACUUCAGGAAACUGGGGCUAAUACCGGAUAGGAGCUCCUGCUGCAUGGUGGGGGUUGGAAAGUUUCGGCGGUUGGGGAUGGACUCGCGGCUUAUCAGCUUGUUGGUGGGGUAGUGGCUUACCAAGGCUUUGACGGGUAGCCGGCCUGAGAGGGUGACCGGCCACAAUGGGACUGAGAUACGGAGCAGACUCCAACGGGAGGCAGCAGUGGGGAAUAUGGCACAGUGGGCGGAAGCCUGAUGCAGCAACGCCGCGUGCGGGAUGACGGCCUUCGGGUUGUAAACCGCUUUCGCCUGUGACGAAGCGUGAGUGACGGUAAUGGGUAAAGAAGCACCGGCUAACUACGUG
rnacentral:rRNA from 1 species